rnacentral:lncRNA from 1 species
GCAGCCUCGCUAAAGGGCACAUUGUUCUGCACUGAGAGGCCUCUGUGCCAUGUGUUUUGAUACACUUUAAAGUUCAUAGAAUCAGGGAGUCUGGAUUCAGAAGGGGUCUGAGAAGGUCAUUCAAAUCUGUCUUUCCUCUUCCUAUUUUAUCUUUAUACAGACAAACACAUUCAAGUCAACAAGUCAUUUUAAACAGUUACCCUGUCUAGAGUGCCUGGGACAAGAAUAAGCGAAAGGAGCCAUGAACCUAAGCCUUUGCCUGGAGUGGGCAGCAAAGCCUUUUCAGAAAAGGUAGGAGGUAAAGUGGAAAGUAUUGUUUAGACUGGAUCUGGGCAACUGUGUCAGGAGAGCAUGUGAGGCAGAGGAAAUUAGAUGCAAGAAUGUGCAGAGGCGGGAAGAACAAAGCCGGCCAGUGAGACAUCACAUCGGUGUGCAAGCUGGAUCUGAUAGAAAAUUCACAGAAAGAGGAGGCGGUAAGGAUUUUAGAAACUUGAUGGAAGUUGCAAAAUCAUCACUGUGGCAGGUAAGAAGGUUAUGCUUUCUACCACAUUCUCUCACUAUUUUGUCAAACUUUCCCAUAAUCCUAAAACUGAUCAAGACUACUCUUUUGAUAUACCAAAAUCAAGCAAAUCAUGACACAUGAUUAAUGAGUUAUUUUCAGAUAAAUGUAUUAUAACUAUAUGGAAUAAAGUGGGCUGCUCAAUCUUUGUGCAUGCUCAGUCGUUCAGUCCUGUCUGACUAUUUGCUGUCCCAUGGACUGUAUCCCGCCACGCACCUCUGUCCAUGGAAUUUUCCAGGCAAGAAGACUGGUUGCCAUUUCCUAUGCCAGGGGAUCUUCGUGACUUGGGGAUGGAACCCAUGUCUGCUGCAUUUCCU